rnacentral:rRNA from 1 species
GACGAACGCUGGCGGCGCGCUUAACACAUGCAAGUCGAACGGAAAGGCCUGCUUUCCCUUGUGGAUUGCGGGUACUCGAGUGGCGAACGGGUGAGUAACACGUGAGUGAUCUGCCCCCAACUUGGGUAUAAGCCUGGGAAACUGGGUCUAAUUCCCGAUAGGACUGCAGGGUGGUGCCUGUGGUGGAAAACGAUUUUCUAGUGGUUGGGGAUGAGCUCGCGGCCUAUCAGCUUGUUGGUGGGGUAAUGGCCUACCAAGGCGGCGACGGGUAGCCGGCCUGAGAGGGUGGACGGCCACAUUGGGACUGAGAUACGGCCCAGACUCCUACGGGAGGCAGCAGUGGGGAACAUUGCACAAUGGGCGGAAGCCUGAUGCAGCGACGCCGCGUGGGGGAUGACGGCCUUCGGGUUGUAAACUCCUUUCGACCGCGAGGAAGCCACCUGGUUGGAAGGGUGGUGACGGUAGUGGUAGAAGAAGCACCGGCUAACUACGUG